UGGGGAAUAUUGCACAAUGGGCGCAAGCCUGAUGCAGCCAUGCCGCGUGUAUGAAGAAGGCCUUCGGGUUGUAAAGUACUUUCAGCGGGGAGGAAGGCGAUAAGGUUAAUAACCUUGUCGAUUGACGUUACCCGCAGAAGAAGCACCGGCUACCUCCGUGCCAGUAGCCGCGGUAAUACGGAGGGUGCAAGCGUUAAUCGGAAUUCCUGGGCGUAAAGCGCACGCAGGCGGUCUGUCAAGUCGGAUGUGAAAUCCCCGGGCUCAACCUGGGAACUGCAUUCGAAACUGGCAGGCUAGAGUCUUGUAGAGGGGGGUAGAAUUCCAGGUGUAGCGGUGAAAUGCGUAGAGAUCUGGAGGAAUACCGGUGGCGAAGGCGGCCCCCUGGACAAAGACUGACGCUCAGGUGCGAAAGCGUGGGGAGCAAACA
rnacentral:rRNA from 1 species